rnacentral:lncRNA from 1 species
CGCCUGGAAAACGGAAGACUUUGAAAGGGGAAUCAAUAUGUUAUUCAACUAUGGAAGGAAAGUACAUUUGCAACAGAAGAUCGAAAGAUCACCUCUUCUGUGCUCCUGGAAUCCUGUGUCCCACAAGUUUGCACCCUGUGGAGAAGGUCAACGAAAAAGGUUCACCACUUUUAUCACCAAGUCAGAAGAUUGCGAAAUCAGAUACCCUUUUGUCUGUGUGCUGUUCUCAAGCCUUCAGAAAAUAGCUGAGGGACACAGAAAUAUUUUUCUUCACCUCCUAUGUGCAGAUGAUGAAGUCUUAAACUUCUGCUGGAUAGAAACCUCUUAG